GGGCUCCGUCCUCAGGACCACAGACAGGGCGUCUCCAGCCUUCAUCAAACGCCAGGAGGAGGAUGCUGAGGGCACAGCCCCUACUACACUGCAUUAUAACUAGUUCGGGGACUGUCUCUCCCAUGAGACUGAGUGACUUUCUGUUUCCAGGGAGCAGCACAGUGACAGCACAGAGAACACCUGACGAUGCCUGGCAAAUGAGUAAGCGCGUGGAGGGGUGGAGCCAGAUGUGCCUCUGAGAAGAACUUCACAAGAGCUGGAGGCCGCCCCUCCCUCCAUGGCCCACAUAUACCUGCAUCUCCGUGUCCCCAGCUCCUCCCCUCCCCCUGACCUCAGCUUCCCCGCUCAACAGUCCGCUGGUGCUCCUCUGAGCUGCCCCGAGGCCUGCUGGGAACUCCUCCACCUGCUUGAUGACUUGGCCUCCUGGGAUCUGAGAGAUAAAGGGCCUUUAGAGACGAUGUACUUCAACCACUUGAAGUCCUGCCACUUGAAGCCAGCGAGGACAAAGAGAGAAUCCCGUUCGUAUUGCUCGGGCCGCUGCAUGGCACCCUCAGGAUGGACUGGACGACACUGUCAGAUGCAGCCAAGAUGUCAAGUUAGGGAAUGAAAAGCAUCCUUUGGAUCUCCUGGGGGCACUGAGCAGUUUCACUGAAGUGGUGAGGGGAGAAGAUAUUCUUCAAGAGUAAAUGGUGAGUAAGAGGAGACAGUUGGCACGGGCAAUCUUUCUAGAAGUCGCAUGAGAAAGCGUAAGGAAACAAACCUUGAAGGAAAUGUUCUGUACUAAGUGCCUUCAGAUACACUUCAUGGUGGGCCUCGGGGAAGGUCACAGAUCCCUUCCUUUUCCCGCCUCCAAUUUCACGUCUAAGGAAAAGCGUACUGCUGCUCACUGGCCAAGGCCAAGGGUGUGGACUGGGCUUUUGUUUUCUAGGAGGGGAACCUGAGCAGAAUGGUCAUAAAGUGUGGGGUGCUUUUUCUUGCUGGAUGGUGGGCUGUGUAUCGGGCUUUCCUGCCCUUCAUGGCUUAGCAGGAUCCGAAUCUUGAGUGAGGAUUUAGGAGAAAAGUUAGGCUGCUUGGCUACCUGCACCCAUGAAAAAGGAGUUCUUCAUGGGGUUCAACCCAACCCAUGAGAUUUGUCCUUGGAGGCUGAAGGUCAAAGCUCCAGUUCAAGAGUAUCCUUUUGCUGGCCACUGUCUUUUUUUCAGGGAGGGGUGGGCCAGCUAAGUAGAGGGUUCAGGCGUUCUUGAGUCUGCUGGCCAAAUGAUAUCACCCCUUUAACCGUUAUCUUAUUUAAUUCUGACCACAACCUAAUACAGUGGUAUUAUUCUCUCCAUUUAACUGAUGAAGAAACUAAAGCAAAACAUGUUAGUAACUUGUCCAUGGUCACAGCUAAUAAAGAGGUAGUACUGCGACCGGAGCCUUCUAUGUCUGACGCUAAAGCUGAAACUCUACCAUGCCAUGAAAUAGGGCAGUAACUUGACACGGAAAGAGAACUGUAAAACUCUCAGGGAUGGGAAAGUCUUAUGUCAGGAACUGCAUGGGUGAGGUCCUUGAGGCAAUAGAAGGGGACAGUUCUGAGAGUAUAGGGGGAAAGGUUAGCCUUGGACAGGAUAAAAAAGGACUGGAGGGGAGGCUAGGUUAAGGUGAAAAAAAUCAGAAGGGGAUGAUGGAGGGCCCUGGGGGCAGCCGUCUGGAUGGCCUCUAUUUUCUCUGGGAUUUCCCCCCUCAUAUCUAGUCCUCUAGCACUGCUGUCUCUGGCACCCGUUUUGUGUGAUCUCACAGCACAGUGUUCUUCCCUCAUCAGAGUCCUUACUGCACUCCAAGUACCUGUGUCUGCAUUAGACUGGAACUUUUUGAGGAGAGGAACCACAUCUGUCUACUCCACGGUUGUGUACCUAGCCCCCCGCAAAGUGGUGGUUUCUGAGUAAACAUUCCACUAAAGAACCUGAAUCAGCCCACUGAAAAACUGAAGACUGGAGGAGGGGCCCUCCCAGCCCAGAAGCUGGAACUCACCGUCCCCCAAUGAACUCUAACCUCAGCAUCCAUUUCUCAUUCCCAUCAUCACUAACACCAUUACAAUCACCAGACCAGGGGGAAUAACAGCACUAAUCACUUGGAGGUCUAUCAUUACUAGAGGUUUUGAAGUGAACUUGAAAGAGGCAGAAAACUUUCAGUGCUGCUCCCUCCCCAUCCCUUGCUGCUAGGAAGAAACUGUCAACACGUGAUAGCGUGGGAGGGCUAUUCCCGCACAGCCGCUUCUUCUGGCCUUCUGAGUUAGCACACUUCUCCUCUGUGUAGAAGGGUCACUCAUGUUUCUCAUACCUAGUACACAUAAUCUAAGUGAAUUAAUACAUUUGAUGUUUUACCAGAGGCCCCGAGGAUUCUGACCAGAGUCCACAAGGUACCUGGAUAAGCCUGGGGCAAGAACCUCUCCUGUGUCAGGACUGAGCUUAUGAAAGUUUUGCAGUUUCUCAGUCAGGCAUGGACAUGAUUUUAUCUGCCUCCCAAUAGGUACUGCAUGUCAUAUGCUAGCAAAAUCUCCUAAGAUCUAGCCAAAUGGUCUCAACACAUUUUUUCCUUGUCUUCUCUCUUCCUCCAUCUUUCAGCUGAUGAGAAAGUUCAUUAUAUUAAUUUUUACUUAACCCCCCCCCCACCCCUUAUUGGGCUUCCCUGGUGGCACAGUGGUUAAGAAUCUGCUUGCCUGGGCUUCCCUGGUGGCGCAGUGGUUGAGAGUCCGCCUGCCGAUGCAGGGGACACAGGUUCGUGCCCCGGUCCGGGAAGAUCCCACAUGCCGUGGAGCAGCUGGGCCCAUGAGCCAUGGCCGCUGAGCCUGCACAUCUGGAGCCUGUGCUCCGCAACGGGAGAGGCCACAGCAGUGAGAGGCCCGCGUACCGCAAAAAAAAAAAAAAAAAAAAAAAAAAAAAGAAUCCGCC